UGCUCCUGGUUCUGUCUCACAACAGAAAAACGAGUUUAUUUAAAUUGGCAAAUCAAAACGAAGACAUUAUUUGGUGCAUUGGCCAGGAAAUAGAAAUUAAACCGAGACAUUUUCUGUGAGAGAAUGC